UACGUAGGGCGCAAGCGUUAUCCGGAAUUAUUGGGCGUAAAGAGCUCGUAGGCGGUUUGUCGCGUCUGCCGUGAAAGUCCGGGGCUCAACUCCGGAUCUGCGGUGGGUACGGGCAGACUAGAGUGAUGUAGGGGAGACUGGAAUUCCUGGUGUAGCGGUGAAAUGCGCAGAUAUCAGGAGGAACACCGGUGGCGAAGGCGGCUUUCUGGGCCUUACCUGACGCUGAGGAGCGAAAGCUGGGGGAGCAAACAGG
rnacentral:rRNA from 1 species